GAAUAUUGCACAAUGGACGCAAGUCUGAUGCAGCAACGCCGCGUGGAGGAUGAAGGUCUUUGGUUCGUAAACUCCUUUUCUCAGGGAAGAGAAUGGACGGUACCUGAGGAAUAAGUCACGGCUAACUACGUGCCAGCAGCCGCGGUAAUACGUAGGUGGCAAGCGUUAUCCGGAAUUACUGGGCGUAAAGCGCACGCAGGCGGUCUCUUAAGUUUGACGUGAAAGCUCCCGGCUUAACUGGGAGAGGUCGUUGAAUACUGGGGGACUUGAGGCAAUGAGAGGGGUGUAGAAUUCCCGGUGUAGUGGUGGAAUGCGUAGAUAUCGGGGGGAAUACCAGUGGCGAAAGCGGCACCCUAGCGUUGUACUGACGCUCAUGUGCGAAAGCGUGGGGAGCGAA
rnacentral:rRNA from 1 species